rnacentral:rRNA from 1 species
UACGUAGGUGGCGAGCGUUGUCCGGAAUUACUGGGUGUAAAGGGCGUGUAGGCGGGUUAUUAAGUCAGAUGUGAAAUUCCAAGGCUCAACCUUGGCGCUGCAUCUGAAACUGAUAAUCUUGAGUGUUGGAGAGGAAAGCGGAAUUCCUAGUGUAGCGGUGAAAUGCGUAGAUAUUAGGAGGAACACCAGUGGCGAAGGCGGCUUUCUGGACAAUAACUGACGCUGAGGCGCGAAAGCGUGGGGAGCAAACGGG